UACGAAGGGUGCAAACGUUGCUCGGAAUUAUUGGGCGUAAAGCGCACGUAGGCGGCUUUGCAAGUCCCAUGUGAAAUCCCACGGCUCAACCGUGGAAGUGCAUGGGAAACUGCAGAGCUUGAGUACUUAAGAGGAUCGCGGAAUUCCCGGUGUAGAGGUGAAAUUCGUAGAUAUCGGGAGGAACACCAGUGGCGAAGGCGACUACCUGGCCUGUUCUUGACGCUGAGGCGCGAAAGCUAGGGGAGCAAACGGG
rnacentral:rRNA from 1 species